GCAGAUCUGUCUGAUGAUGAUUUUUUACGGAUCGAGUUGGAUGGAUGGGUUGAUGAUGAGGAUGAUGAAGAGGAGCAUUCAGUGGAAGGCCAUGAGGAUGAGAAUCAUGAGGUGGAGAAUGAAAAUGAGAACCUGGAUCAAUCUGAUGGUGAGCAUGGAGAGGUGAAUGCGGUGAACGAGAAUCGGAGUGAAGAUGAAGAAGAGGAGACGCGGAGAAGGCGGCGUGAUGUUCUACGGCUUCGGCUAAGGGACUUUGCUGCUCGAGCUGCGAGCAGGCGCAACAGGAUUCUUGAUUGGGCCGAGAUUUUAAUGGGGCUGGAGGACCACUCAAUCGAGUUGCGAUUACAGGUUCCAGAAUCUGAUACUUUUUUCGGAAACCCGGGUGAUUAUGUAGAUGCUGCAGGAUACGAAGCAUUGCUGCAUAAUUUAGCUGAAAGUGACAGUGGAGGAAGGCCAGGGGCACCACCAGCUUCAAAGGCAACAGUUGAAGGGUUAGAAAACUUGUUGAUUAAGAAGGAAGAGGAGACAUUGGUGUGUGCUAUAUGUAAAGAUUCAGUGAAUGUGGGUGAAAUGGCGAGGAAAUUACCGUGUGGACAUGGAUAUCACGGCGACUGCAUAGUCCCAUGGUUGUGGUCACGAAAUACUUGUCCCGUGUGUAGGUUUGAGUUGCCAACUGAUGAUCCCGAUUACGAGGAGGAGAGGAAGAAAAGAGUUGUCGUGGCAAGCCUUAGAGCACCUUCCUCGAGUUCUUCCGGUGGUGCAGGUAGCUAUAAUUCUGGCUUCGAUUGAUUUACUGUGGUAUGCUAAAACCUUCUUCACUUUGUUUCCUAUUCUCAUGUUUAGGAGUUUUUCCUGUUUCUGUUCUUCUCUCUCUCUCUCUCUCUCUCACUAUUUAAAUUGGAACUCUGUUCGUGUAUUAGCUUAUUGUGAAUUGGGCAGAUGCCGCAGAUGAAUUGUAUUUUGACUUCUUUUCUGUAAAUAAUGAACUCACUUUUUGGGAAAUUGAUAAUAUCGGCCUGUGGACAUUUGAAAAGCCAAAAGCUGUUUUCGAGACUAAGAAGUGGUUUGGGGUGAACGAGAAUCGGAGUGAAGAUGAAGAAGAGGAGACGCGGAGAAGGCGGCGUGAUGUUCUACGGCUUCGGCUAAGGGACUUUGCUGCUCGAGCUGCGAGCAGGCGCAACAGGAUUCUUGAUUGGGCCGAGAUUUUAAUGGGGCUGGAGGACCACUCAAUCGAGUUGCGAUUACAGGUUCCAGAAUCUGAUACUUUUUUUGGAAACCCGGGUGAUUAUGUAGAUGCUGCAGGAUACGAAGCAUUGCUGCAUAAUUUAGCUGAAAGUGACAGUGGAGGAAGGCCAGGGGCACCACCAGCUUCAAAGGCAACAGUUGAAGGGUUAGAAAACUUGUUGAUUAAGAAGGAAGAGGAGACAUUGGUGUGUGCUAUAUGUAAAGAUUCAGUGAAUGUGGGUGAAAUGGCGAGGAAAUUACCGUGUGGACAUGGAUAUCACGGCGACUGCAUAGUCCCAUGGUUGUGGUCACGAAAUACUUGUCCCGUGUGUAGGUUUGAGAUGCCAACUGAUGAUCCAGAUUACGAGGAGGAGAGGAAGAAAAGAGUUGUCGUGGGAAGCCUUAGAGCACCUUCCUCGAGUUCUUCCGGUGGUGCAGGUAGUUAUAAUUCUGGCUUCGAUUGAUUUGCUGUGGUAUGCUAAAACCUUCUUCACUUUGUUUCCUAUUCUCAUGUUUAGGAGUUUUUCCUGUUUCUGUUCUUCUCUCUCUCUCUCUCUCUCUCACUAUUUAAAUUGGAACUCUGUUCGUGUAUUAGCUUAUUGUGAAUUGGGCAGAUGCCGCAGAUGAAUUGUAAU
rnacentral:lncRNA from 1 species